rnacentral:rRNA from 1 species
UGCAAGUCGAACGAAGUAGCAAUACUUAGUGGCAGACGGGUGAGUAACAUGUAGGUAUCUGCCCUUUGGCCUGGAAUAACACGAGGAAACUUGUGCUAAUACCGGAUAAGUCUUUACAGAGAAAGCUUUAUGCACCAUUGGAUGAGCCUGCACUUGAUUAGUUUGUUGGUGGGGUAAUGGCCUACCAAGACUGUGAUCAAUAGCUGAUUUGAGAGGAUGAUCAGCCACAUUGGGACUGAGACACGGCCCAAACUCCUACGGGAGGCAGCAGUGGGGAAUCUUGCACAAUGGAGGAAACUCUGAUGCAGCGAUGCCGCGUGAGUAAAGAAGGCCUUUGGGUUGUAAAGCUCUUUCGUCGGGGAAGAAAAUGACUGUACCCGAAUAAGAAGGUCCGGCUAACUUCGUGCCAGCAGCCGCGGUAAUACGAAGGGACCUAGCGUAGUUCGGAAUUACUGGGCUUAAAGAGUUCGUAGGUGGUUGAAAAAGUUAGUGGUGAAAUCCCAGAGCUUAACUCUGGAACUGCCAUUAAAACUUUUCAGCUAGAGUAUGAUAGAGGAAAGCAGAAUUUCUAGUGUAGAGGUGAAAUUCGUAGAUAUUAGAAAGAAUACCAAUUGCGAAGGCAGCUUUCUGGAUCAUUACUGACACUGAGGAACGAAAGCAUGGGUAGCGAAGAGGAUUAGAUACCCUCGUAGUCCAUGCCGUAAACGAUGUGUGUUAGACGUUGGAAAUUUAUUUUCAGUGUCGCAGGGAAACCGAUAAACACACCGCCUGGGGAGUACGACCGCAAGGUUAAAACUCAAAUGAAUUGACGGGGACCCGCACAAGUA